rnacentral:rRNA from 1 species
GACAGAGGGGGCAAGCGUUGUUCGGAAUUAUUGGGCGUAAAGGGCGCGUAGGCGGUUUGACAAGUCUGAUGUGAAAUCUAUGGGCUCAACCCAUAGCCUGCAUUAGAAACUGUCGGGCUUGAGUAUGGGAGAGGUGAGUGGAAUUUCCGGUGUAGCGGUGAAAUGCGUAGAUAUCGGAAGGAACACCUGUGGCGAAAGCGGCUCACUGGACCAUAACUGACGCUGAGGCGCGAAAGCUAGGGGAGCAAACAGG